rnacentral:lncRNA from 1 species
AAUUUAGUUCUUAUCUACGAACAUAUAUUUGAAUAACUUACUUUUUCUUUUAAAUAUAAAAAUUUAUUCUUUUAAAAGUAACUAUUUCGUUAAGUGUCAAAAUAAGUAACUUAUUCAUUUUUAACUUUGAUUAUACAAAAAUAUAUUUAUUUAAAACUUACUUAGUCAGUUAUUUAUUUUUUUCAAGUAAAAAGUUACUUUUUCUAAUAGGAAGCUUAAUAAACAAUGGUUAUUUUACAUAUGGAUAACUUACUUUUCUUACUCAGCAAAAUAGUAAAUUUACCAGUUCAUUUCGUGUUUUUGUUUCUUUUCUUUUUGCAACUAAUAAAAAGAAUGGUUGAUGAGAAUUAUGAUGAUUGUCAGUAUGUUCAAGUGAUUCUAAUCCACCCUCCCAUGUCCCUACAUUUCAUUAUUCUACGGUGCACUUAACACACCCACAAAGUGUAUUAGGAAUUUAUGAACUAAGAAGCACGGAUUCAAAUACGUAAUUCGAAUACGUUAUGACACGGGUAUGACAACACAACUUUUUAACAAAACUUAGGACAUGCGGAUAUGUACAUGUAUUUUUUUUUUUUCACAAGUUAAAUAUAAAAUUUGGCAUAAAUAAAAUAAAAUAAAAUACUAAAGAAUUUUAUCUUAAUCCUUAAUUGUCUUAACUUCAUUUUUUUCAACAUCAACAUCACCACCAUCAGCUUCUUCAUUAUAAUUAAAAAUUACACACUCUAACUCUAACUCAUCUAAUAAUAAAUUAGCAACUUCAGACUGUCUAUGUCCCAUAUUUUAGAUUUUCUUUUUGAAUAAAGAUUUAAUUUUCUUGAUAAAAGCUGUAGAUUGGUUCAAUGAAAACCAAUUUUUUGCUCAUUGUGGAGCUAUUUUAUUCCUUCUCAUAGAGUGCACAAAAGAUUAGAUGCUUCUUGUUAAUAUAAUAAAUAUUAAUAAUUUUCAAUAAUUUAUCGACAAUAAUAAUAAUUAUCUAUUAAGUAAAGUCUACGAUGCACCGAUACGAUACGUAUCAAACAUGUCGACAUGCGUUUUUAAAACAAGUGUUAACAAGACACAUCAACAAGUUCAUUAAAUUUUUUAAAAUUCUUCAUUUCUAUAGUAUAAAUUUAGUUUUAUACUUAUUAUUAAUUUUUCUUGUUGAAAUCUUUUAAAUAUGAUAUGAGUACCUAUUUAUUAUUUAAUAAUUAACUUUAGGUUAAAAAUAUAUAUUUUUAUUGAAAAAAGUUUACAAUAGAGUGUCAUAUCAACACGUAUUGGAUAUGAACACGGUACCCUACUUGAAGUGUAAUUGUACAGAGAGUAAAAUUGACAUCUAUUGUCGAUGAUAUUAUAAAAAGUUUAAAAUUGAUAAAAGUCUUUUUCUUCACGUAUCCUAAGUUGUCCCAUUUGUAUUUGAUAAUUUAAAAAAUAUAAAAAAAUGUAAAAUAAUUAAAAAAUACAUAUGCAAUACGUAUUGGAGAGUGUCCAAGCACAUCCAAGCUUGGAUACGUAUUGGAUAUAUGUUCACAAUAAGUUUACAAGUAUCCGUGCUUCUUAGUUUAUGAAAAGGCUAUAAAGAAAAUACUGGUUAUUCAUUGGGAUUCUCAAAAUAAUUUGCUAGCAAUAGGAUCACCAAAAGUUUCACCACAAGGGAAGUCAAAAGCAAAUGAAAGAUGACGUGAAGAGCAAAACAUUUUAAAAAUUUUAGCAGUGCCACAUAGCCAUUCUUGGACCCUUUGUCCUAUAUUACAAGUCUUGGUCCUUAAAACAGCAACUGUUUCAAUAUGCACCAAAUAUUAGAGAUUGUUUGAUGCACAUUAUUUCUGCAUUAUUAGAAGAAUUUUUACGUUGAAGGGCCUCACCUGUUGACUUCUCUCUCACAAUGCCUUGGAUUUGUGUGAUCCAACGGUAAGAUUUUUCAUUUUUUUGGACCAAUAAUGAGCCCCAAACAGCCUUUUAAUGGUUAUAACAUUUUUAGAUCUAAAUGAUUGAAGAAACAAAGAAAGAACAAUAAUAUCCUAUUGAAGAUACACAUUUUUGCACCCAGAGAAUUAUGUUUAACCCCAAAAGAGUAUAGAAAUAUUAUAUAUCAACGGUUGAUAAAAAAUGCAUUGCCUGCUUUGAUAAAAAAGUCGUAGCAACACAGAUCAACCCACCAUACCAUAAAGUUCAGCAGCAAGACUUCUUCCUUCAAUGUCUUGAAAUGCCAAGUGAGACCAAAUAUUCGGCAAUUGUCCACAAGUUUUGUGAAAUUAAAUCAUAACAAGCAUGUCUAUCAUGAUAAUGCUUGUUCACAAUUAGCCAAGAAAAAUGAUGCAUGAAUGCAUGCACAAGAGCACUUAAGGACUUUGUCCAGAUAAUAAACUAGUGACAAACAAUACUCAAAAGAACUAUGGUCAAAAGGGAGAAGAGAGAAAUAGGGCUAGGGGUAGGAGAUUACACCGAAUCUAUUGGGUCUUCUUAUCAUUUUUUGAAGGCAUCGGAAUCUUUCUCAAUAUUUGUUCAUCAAUUUUCCGGUACUGUGUCUGAAUAAUCUUAUGUGCUAUAAUCAGCUUUUCAUCGAUUUGCUUUUGGUAUUUGGCGUACAACACAGGUAGUGAUAAACUGAGAAGAACCCCUGCAAUAACAACAACAAAAACACACAUUACAACUAAAAAAUAUGAGGAAAAAACAGACCUAGAGGAGAUCAAGCAAAUACUUGUCUAUCAUGAUAAUGCUUGUUCACAAUUAGCCAAGAAAAAUGAUGCAUGAAUGCAUGCACAAGAGCACUUAAGGACUUUGUCCAGAUAAUAAACUAGUGACAAACAAUACUCAAAAGAACUAUGGUCAAAAGGGAGAAGAGAGAAAUAGGGCUAGGGGUAGGAGAUUACACCGAAUCUAUUGGGUCUUCUUAUCAUUUUUUGAAGGCAUCGGAAUCUUUCUCAAUAUUUGUUCAUCAAUUUUCCGGUACUGUGUCUGAAUAAUCUUAUGUGCUAUAAUCAGCUUUUCAUCGAUUUGCUUUUGGUAUUUGGCGUACAACACAGGUAGUGAUAAACUGAGAAGAACCCC